UACGAAGGGGGCUAGCGUUGCUCGGAAUCACUGGGCGUAAAGCGCACGUAGGCGGAUUCCUAAGUCGGGGGUGAAAUCCUGGAGCUCAACUCCAGAACUGCCUUCGAUACUGGGAAUCUUGAGUCCGGAAGAGGUGAGUGGAACUGCGAGUGUAGAGGUGAAAUUCGUAGAUAUUCGCAAGAACACCAGUGGCGAAGGCGGACUCACUGGUCCGGUACUGACGCUGAGGUGCGAAAGCGUGGGGAGCAAACAGGG
rnacentral:rRNA from 1 species